CCUACGGGAGGCAGCAGUGAGGAAUAUUGGUCAAUGGACGAGAGUCUGAACCAGCCAAGUAGCGUGAAGGAUUACUGCCCUAUGGGUUGUAAACUUCUUUUAUAUGGGAAUAAAAUGUUCCACGUGUGGGAUUUUGUAUGUACCAUAUGAAUAAGGAUCGGCUAACUCCGUGCCAGCAGCCGCGGUAAUACGGAGAAUCCGAGCGUUAUCCGGAUUUAUUGGGUUUAAAAGGAGCGUAGGUGGAUUGUUAAGUCAGUUGUGAAAGUUUGCGGCUCAACCGUAAAAUUGCAGUUGAAACUGGCAGUCUUGAGUACAGUAGAGGUGGGCGGAAUUCGUGGUGUAGCGGUGAAAUGCUUAGAUAUCACGAAGAACUCCGAUUGCGAAGGCAGUUCACUGGACUGCAACUGACACUGAGGCUCGAAAGUGUGGGUAUCAAACAGGAUUAGAUACCCUAGUAGUC
rnacentral:rRNA from 1 species